CCUCGCUGAGCAGAGAGCCCAGUGUGGGGCUCAAUCCCAGAACCUUGAGAUCAUGACCUGAGCCGAAGGCUGAGACUUAACCCAAUGAGCUACCCAGUCGCCCUUGUAUUUCCUCAUUUUUAAAAAGAG